CCUACGGGGGGCAGCAGUGGGGAAUAUUGGACAAUGGGGGAAACCCUGAUCCAGCGACGCCGCGUGAGUAAAGAAGUAUUUCGGUAUGUAAAGCUCUAUCAGCAGGGGAGAAAAAAAGUCUUUGGCUUUGGACGGUACCUGACUAAGAAGCCCCGGCUAACUACGUGCCAGCAGCCGCGGUAAUACGUAGGGGGCAAGCGUUAUCCGGAUUUACUGGGUGUAAAGGGAGCGUAGACGGCAGCGCAAGUCUGGAGUGAAAUGCCGGGGCUCAACCCCGGAACUGCUUUGGAAACUGUGCAGCUAGA
rnacentral:rRNA from 1 species